GAGGACGCUCGGCAGUGUGACGUUUCUUGCCUCGCUCGAAGGCAGGUCUCGAGUUUUUUUGAAUGGAUUAUGUGACAGUUGGAGGAUCGCGCUAAGCUGUGUUCCCUUGUGGGGAUACUGAGGGAGGCCUCACGGGAGUAGAGGCCCAGAAUGCUCCCCGGGUUUCUUCUGAAGUUCCCGCACGGGGUUCGGGGCUUCAGACUGCAUUAGGAGAGCAACUGGAGCAGAGCAACACAAAGAAUAACGCCCUUGACCUAGGUCGUCCAAGACUGAGGCGAGGCCGAGAACAGGAGGACCAUCGCCUUCACGUUCGCGCUCAGGAGACUGACCGAAAUUUCGCCCCGCUCUUCGAGCGCUCUCUCGGCCGCUCUUGAGAAUGGAGAGAUCCACCAGGGAGCUGUUCCUCAACUUCACAGUGGUC
rnacentral:lncRNA from 1 species